AUUGAACGCUGGCGGCAGGCCUAACACAUGCAAGUCGAGCGAGCGGCGGACGGGGGUGUAAUGUCUGGGAAACUGCCUCAGGGAGGGGGGUAACUACUGGAAAAGGGAGCUAAUACCGCAUACGAUAAGAUGUGCCCAGAGAGGAGUAGCUUGUAGGUGGGGGAACGGCUCACCUAGGCGAGGAUCCCUAGCUGGGCUGAGAGGAUGACCAGCCACACUGGAACUGAGACACGGCCCAGACUCCUACGGGAGGCAGCAGUGGGGAAUAUUGCACAAUGGGCGCAAGCCUGAUGCAGCCAUGCCGCGUGUGUGAAGAAGGCCUUCGGGUUGUAAAGCACUUUCAGCGGGGAGGCGUUACCCGCAGAAGAAGCACCGGCUAACUCCGUGCCAGCAGCCGCGGUAAUUC
rnacentral:rRNA from 1 species